UUAAGUCAGAGAAGUGAAUUGAGAAGCCU
rnacentral:piRNA from 1 species